rnacentral:rRNA from 1 species
GAUGAACGCUGGCGGCGUGCCUAAUACAUGCAAGUCGAGCGAACAGACGAGGAGCUUGCUCCUCUGACGUUAGCGGCGGAUGGGUGAGUAACACGUGGAUAACCUACCUAUAAGACUGGGAUAACUUCGGGAAACCGGAGCUAAUACCGGAUAAUAUAUUGAACCGCAUGGUUCAAUAGUGAAAGACGGUUUUGCUGUCACUUAUAGAUGGAUCCGCGCCGCAUUAGCUAGUUGGUAAGGUAACGGCUUACCAAGGCAACGAUGCGUAGCCGACCUGAGAGGGUGAUCGGCCACACUGGAACUGAGACACGGUCCAGACUCCUACGGGAGGCAGCAGUAGGGAAUCUUCCGCAAUGGGCGAAAGCCUGACGGAGCAACGCCGCGGGAGUGAUGAAGGUCUUCGGAUCGUAAAACUCUGUUAUUAGGGAAGAACAAAUGUGUAAGUAACUAUGCACGUCUUGACGGUACCUAAGCAGAAAGCCACGGCUAACUACGU